GUCCUUGUAGCGUAAUGGGUAGCACGUUGGACUGGUAAUCCAAAGGGCGUGGGCUCGAAUCCUACCUAGGAUG